GAGAUUUAAAAAGUCUUUUUAGAACAAAAAAGCCACUUCAAAAAAAUAUUUUACACUAAGCAGGGUCUAUUUUCUUAGCCUCCCCUUUCGAAUGCAACAUUCAAAUUACUAGACAAAAAAUCAUAUCCUGAGAAAGGGUUUUUGGAUUGUGA